rnacentral:rRNA from 1 species
UACGUAGGGUGCGAGCGUUAAUCGGAAUUACUGGGCGUAAAGCGUGCGCAGGCGGUUCGUUGUGUCCGUCGUGAAAGCCCCGGGCUUAACCUGGGAACUGCGAUGGAAACUAGCGAGCUGGAGUGUGGCAGAGGGGGGUGGAAUUCCGCGUGUAGCAGUGAAAUGCGUAGAGAUGCGGAGGAACACCGAUGGCGAAGGCAGCCCCCUGGGCUAACACUGACGCUCAGGCACGAAAGCGUGGGGAGCAAACGGG